GUGCUCUCUCAGCAGCACAUACACUGCAAUUGGAACAAUACAGAGAUUAGCAGGGUCCUGUGCAAGGAUGACCGGGAAAUUCCUGAAACAGUCCUUUUUUUU
ensembl:snRNA U6 U6 spliceosomal RNA